ACGGGUGAGUAACGCGUGGGAAUCUACCUAGUUCUACGGAACAACACAGGGAAACUUGUGCUAAUACCGUAUACGCCCUACGGGGGAAAGAUUUAUCGGAAUUAGAUGAGCCCGCGUAAGAUUAGCUAGUUGGUGGGGUAAUGGCCUACCAAGGCGACGAUCUUUAGCUGGUCUGAGAGGAUGAUCAGCCACACUGGGACUGAGACACGGCCCAGACUCCUACGGGAGGCAGCAGUGGGGAAUAUUGGACAAUGGGCGCAAGCCUGAUCCAGCCAUGCCGCGUGAGUGAUGAAGGCCUUAGGGUUGUAAAGCUCUUUCAGUGGGGACGAUAAUGACGGUACCCACAGAAGAAGCCCCGGCUAACUUCGUGCCAGCAGCCGCGGUAAUACGAAGGGGGCUAGCGUUGUUCGGAUUUACUGGGCGUAAAGCGCACAUAGGCGGAUCGUUAAGUCGGGGGUGAAAUCCUGGAGCUCAACUCCAGAACUGCCUUCGAUACUGGCGAUCUUGAGUCCGGAAGAGGUGAGUGGAACUCCUAGUGUAGAGGUGGAAUUCGUAGA
rnacentral:rRNA from 1 species